AUAAGCGAGCGUUUUAGUGUUUAGAGUUUAAAGUUUUAGUGACGUAUAAAUGGUCAGACAGCUACAACACCAAAAUGGCCACUGUCCGAGCUCUCCUUCUUCUCGUCUUGGUUAUGAUGUCCGCCAUUAGCACGUCACACCAAAUUGAGAACUUCGAGCAGACAGAUGAGGAAGUGCCCGUGUUUUAUGACUGUUCAGACAGAGGAGUAUUUAGUGUUCCCUGCCCGGAUAUCGCAGCCUACUACCAGACCAAAAAUAACGACGGAAGAUCCAUGUGUUCUAACCCCUAUAUAAAGUCCUUCUGUUGUGUAUCAUGUAAAUAAAUGAGUGGAAUUCUAACUUUCUCGACGCUGUCUUUGACAAAGUAUCUGCAACAAAACAUUGUGAAAAGAACUCUUUCUGUGCCGCCUCCUCGUGGAAAAUUUACAUCACUGUAAAAUAGAUAAAUUAAUUUGUGAGUACAACUCUUUAACCGAACAAUAAGCGGGGGUAUAUUGUAAAAUGAACACACCUUCUGUUUUAUAGCGCUUGAUAUCCUUGUCAACAAAUCUCUUGGAUUAUGAAAUAUAUCUUAAAUUACUUAUCCAAACUUACUGGGGAAAAAACCGAGCUCAAUCGACGCGACGAGGAAAACGUUGCUUCUAUUGACAUGACAUUGGGCUACCAGCUCCGUAGCUCCGCUACCAGGACGUUUAUUGACAGAAAGGAAAAGGAAUUUUAUAUACCGGUACACAGUAACAACAAGAGGGGCUGAGGAUUCCUGCAAAGUGUCAUUCUACUAUCGGAUACUUAUAUAGAUAUUUCCAAUUUCCAGAAUCUUUUUUAUAAAUACACAGCAAAAUAAACAACACAACUUGUU